ensembl:lncRNA
UUGUGACAGAAGACCUUGCCAUCGGUGACGCUCCACCUGUCUGUACUGUGGACAGGACGGGAACGAAUGGGACAGGUACAGAUGGAAGUCCAGAGACUGGUACUGCAAUCGGUGCUGCGCUGACAGGAAAACUGAUCUGGGCACUCGUGACGGGAUUAGCAGGUGGUGCUAAUAUCUGAGUAGGAACAGUGGAGAGAGGUGUUAUCUGAACUGGCUCUGGAUUUGGCUGUUGCACAGGUGGAUGCUGCUUGGGGAUUAAUUGCACCCGAGGUGGCUGUUGAACCAAUUGUGAUGGCAGAGGUAGCUUGGAGAACGUAGCAGGAGCUGACGACGUAGACAAGGAUUCAUUAUUCGUCCCUGUCAGGUAGGUCUUUACAAGACUGGCAAUGUGCACCUCCUUCUCGAGUUUCUUUAAACGCCUGCGUCUUCCCAUCUCUCUAGCUAUUCUCUCUUUAGCCAGAUGUGCUUCCUCUUGCAGCCGCUGUCCUUCUCUGGCUUGUGCAUCCAAUGCUGCCGCUUCUAAGUCAGCUUUCCUUUCCUCUUCUAUUUCCUGUUGUAGGUCAGCUAGCUCCAAUCCUUUGAUCUCCUCCUCUAAAGCUGACCGGUAACUUGUCAAACUCCUAGCUCUGGUUGACUGAGCCUGGUCUGGUUGUCCUACAGGGGUAGAAGAGGCUUGGACCACAGGCUGUUGAUAGGGCAGAAAAUUGACUUCGUACUGGGCCAAAUGUGCAGGUGGACGAGGGUCUCUCUUGGGUCGGUCCGAUGACUCCUGUUGCUGACCAUCAGUUGCUGACUCCAUAGUGUCGGUGGAACCCUAAAUCCGGCUCGAAGGACCAAUGUAAAGUAUGGACUAGGGGUUCGUUUUAGGAUGGGAGCACUACAGAAAGAUUCCGGCCAGAGAAUCCUUUAUCAGCUUUAUUUUCAAGAUCAGGAUGCCAGUAUACAAGUUCGUAUAAGUGUGUAUGUGGUCUAAACAGAGAAAAAGAAAAAGAAAUAAUGCAAUGGUAAGAAUAACUGAUUAAUAAACAAAUAAAGGAAUACUAUACUAUGCUCA